UGAACCGGUCCCUGAGGACACAAAUACCACAAGACCUGGCCCCCAACUCUGAUAGUUCACAGUCCAUGGGGUAAUCAGACUGGAGCAACUGUGACACGUAUAACAGUGAGAAUGCGUGCAAGGCACAGAAGUAAAAGGGAGUGAUUCUUUCAGGAGAGUGUUCAGGGAGGUAAUGUGUGACCUGAGUUUUAAAAAAUGAAUACAAAUUUGCCGGGUGGAUAAGAGCAAAGAAGAGCAUCCUGUUAGAGGAAUGUUCUGCAAGUUAGAGUUUGUGAACUUGCAGAAGAUGAACUAGAGGGGAAUGGACCAAGAAGGAACCAGACGGACAUUGAUAGUUCUGCUAAUCUCCUUCCGCCUCCUUCACAGCCAUCUUAAAUAAGCAAUCAACACAAAAAUGCUGCUCCCCUCCAUUGCUGAUGACCCACCAGAGUUGCUCUUGGUCUCCAUUUCUGCAGCAGGAUGGAAGAAAGAUUAUGUAAGGCCAAUCAAGUGCCAAACAGAGCUUACAGCUUACUGGAGGAGAUGAAUAAGUAACCAGACAGUGCCCAAAAGAUGGGAUGUUUUGUGAUGGUAAAAACAGAAGUGUGUCAAAGAAGACUUCCUCAGGAAGGUGACAUCUAAUCUAAAACUGCCUUGGAACUGGAAAUACUUCCAGUUGGGAGAAGCAGCAUGUACAAAGUUCCUGAGGAGAGUGAGUUUGUGGCAAGCUUUGGGAAACUACAAGAAAUCUGGUAUGCUGGAAUUAUAGACUUUAAUGUGAAGAUGGUGGAGGAGAAGCCAGAUGAUGGAGAACUUGGAAAACUGUUUGGAUAGUUUCUAGAGACAUUUUCUUCUCGAGACCAAAUCUACUUCCAAUUACUAUUUCAAGUCCUUAAGUGGUUGCCCCCAACAUUUUCUUGUCUAUUUUAAUCUUGCAUGCAACUUUUCUCAUACACA